CGGGCAUGCCUAUGAUUGGCGGUGUCCUUCCUCCAGUGAAAACUGGGGGCGUGGGUGGGCGGAGCCGGAAGUAGAGCCCAGGCGAGUAGCCCUGUCCGGCUGGGGCGGAGGGAAAGGGGGAGGGAACUAGAGGAGGAGGAGGAGGUUAGCUGAGGCAGCGGCGGCGGCAGCGGCGGCGGCGGCGGCGGCGCAGGGGCUGGGUACGCGCUGGGCGGCGAGAGCCUCAUGGCGGAGGAAGAGAGCGACCAAGAGGCCGAGCGCCUCGGAGAAGAGCUCGUGGCCAUUGUGGAGUCCCCCCCGGGCCCAGUGGGGCUCCUAGCUGCGGGCGACGGCAGAGGGGGGGCCGGCGGCGGCGGCUGUGGCGGCGGCGUCGGGAUCAGCAGCCGGGAUUACUGCCGACGCUUCUGUCAGGUGGUUGAAGAUUACGCUGGACGUUGGCAGGUCCCGUUGCCACAGCUUCAGGUUCUUCAGACUGCACUGUGCUGUUUCACGUCAGCCAGCGCGUCGUUCCCAGACGAGUGUGAGCACGUACAGUAUGUUUUGAGUAGUCUUGCUGUGAGUUUCUUUGAGUUGCUCCUAUUCUUUGGAAGAGAUGAGUUUUAUGAAGAACCCUUAAAGGAUAUUCUUGGCUCAUUCCAGGAAUGCCAGAACCACCUCCGCAGAUAUGGAAAUGUGAAUCUUGAACUGGUGACUCGAAUCAUUAAAGAUGGUGGCCCAUGGGAAGACCCAGUGUUGCAAGCUGUUCUUAAAGCCCAACCGGCAUCUCAGGAGAUAGUGAACAAAUACUUAAGUUCUGAAAAUCCACUGUUCUUUGAACUACGUGCCAGAUACCUAAUUGCCUGUGAACGCAUACCUGAAGCAAUGGCUCUUAUUAAAUCUUGUAUAAAUCACCCUGAAAUCAGCAAAGACUUGUACUUCCAUCAAGCACUCUUCACCUGUCUGUUUAUGUCACCUGUAGAAGAUCAGCUAUUCCGUGAGCAUUUGUUGAAAACUGACUGUAAGAGUGGAAUUGAUAUCAUCUGUAACACUGAAAAAGAAGGCAAGACUUUGCUAGCCUUACAGCUCUGUGAAUCCUUUCUUAUUCCACAGCUCCAGAAUGGGGACAUGUACUACAUAUGGUUGAAGAAGAAGGCCUACAAAUUUGUGUUGAGAUCUGUGGUUGUGCUCUCCAGCUUGAUCUCCAUGAUGAUCCUGAAACUAAAUGUCUAAUUUAUAAAACAAUUGCACAUUUUUUGCCAAAUGAUCUAGAGAUUGUCAGGGUUUGUGCUCUCUCAGUAUUUUUUCUUGAGCGUUCCUUAGAUGCCUACCACACCGUUGAAGAGCUUUACAGACGUCCGGAUGAAGAGUAUAGUGAAGGCAUGAGUACUGUUCAAAACCGUGUUCGUUUUGAAUUACUUCCAAUUUUGAAAAAGGGAUUGUUUUUUGAUCCUGAGUUUUGGAACUUCGUAAUGAUUAAGAAAAACUGUGUGGCAUUACUGCGUGAUAAAUCAGCAGUGAAACUUCUAAAUGAAAAUACACUGGAAAAUCCUUCAAGUAGUCUAAAAAAGAGAGUGGACCAGCAGAGUGUGGAAGAAGAUCAGAGCACUGGAGAGACUGAUCCUGAUGAUGCGUCUGUAGUGCAACCUAAAGGACAGGUUAAUGUGAAGAGAAGCCUGUCUGCUCUUAACACCUCCAAAGUGGAUCAUAGUGUCCCAAGACAUCGGUGCAUGUUAUGCAACAAGGAAUUUCUUGGUGGCCACAUUGUAAGGCAUGCCCAGGCUCAUCAGAAAAAAGGCAGUUUUGCAUGUGUGAUAUGUGGUAGGAAAUUUAGGAACAGAGGACUUAUGCAGAAGCAUUUAAAAAAUCACGUUAAGAAGAUUCAGAGACAGCAGAUUGCUACUGCACAACAGGAUGAUCCAGAAGUCAUCACUUUGGAAGAAAUAAAUGGUUCCAAAUCUUUAAUUUCCUUUGAAAAUGGGAAUUCAAAUACUAAGGGCUUGGAAAUAGAGACAUUGACGGCUUCCAGUGAGAGAAACAAAGAGGUCAUCCGUGAACACAUGGCUGAGUUCAUUAAAAUUCCCAUUGCUAUACCAGAGAAUGCUAUAGAAAACAUUAUUGAAAAUGGCAAACCAGAUGCUUCUUUCAAUAAUAUCUCAGAAUCUUUACCUCAGUGUGAUGAUGACUAUGAAGAGGAAGAGAAUGAAGAUGAUUAUGAAGAUGAUUAUGAUUUGAAUCAAGAAACAUCAGUGCUUCACAAAAUCAAUGGAACUGUGUGCCAUCCAAAAGAUGUAUAUGCUACAGACCAAGAAGGCAACUUCAAGUGUCCUGCUCUUGGCUGUGUAAGGAUAUUUAAAAGAAUUGGGUUCCUAAAUAUGCAUGCAAGGACUGUGCAUCCAACUGAUUUAAAUGUGCGGCAAACUGUAAUGAAGUGGAGUAAAGGAAAGUGCAAAUUUUGCCAAAGGCAGUUUGAGGAUUCUCAACAUUUUAUAGAUCACCUUAAUAGACACAGCUAUCCAAAUGUGUACUUCUGUUUGCAUUUCAAUUGCAAUGAGUCAUUUAAGCUGCCAUUUCAGCUUGCCCAGCAUACAAAAAGUCACAGGAUAUUUCAAGCUCAGUGUAGUUUUCCAGAAUGCCAUGAGCUUUUUGAAGAUCUUCCUCUGUUAUAUGAACAUGAAGCCCAGCAUUACUUGAGCAAAACACCAGAAUCAUCUGCACAGCUGAGUGAAGUGGUUCCUAACCAUCAAGAAAUAGACCCAUUUAGUAAUGAGAACCAAACUAUUCAUCAUCCAGUUUCUACUAGUAAGUCAAGGAAAUAUUCUACAGAACCAAAGACAUAUAUAGACACUAUGGAAAAGAAAACAGACAGUUUAGUUCAUAAUGGAAAUGAACAUUCUGAUGAUACUGUUUCAAAUAUAAGCUUGAUAGACCAAAAGAUGCCUGCCAUAGAGCCAAAUCCUGAAAAUACUCAUAGUACCACUGACUUAGUCAAUGGACACAGUGAAAUAGAGCAAACACCAUUAGUUACAUCAGAUCCUACUCUGAAAAUAGAUAUAAACAGAAACAGGACAGAAAAUGGUUCUAUUUUACCCAGUGUUGAAUCACAAGAACACAGUGCCCUGUCAGUAUCUCAGGCACCAUCCAAACCAAAUCUUACAAGUGAACAGACUUCAUAUGGCUUAAUUGUAACAAAGCCAUUUGUCAGACCUUUGCCCCCCAGUUACCUUGAUGAACGAUACCUUAGUAUGCCAAAACGCAGAAAAUUUCUCACCGAUAUUGUAGAUGCCUGUUCUGAUCAAGAUAACAUGUAUAAAAAACCAGUGAAAAGAUUACGAUGUGGCAAAUGCCUGACCACCUACUGUAAUGCAGAAGCACUUGAGGCUCACCUUGCACAAAAGAAAUGUCAGACACUCUUUGGAUUUGAUUCAGAUGAUGAAAGUGCCUGAUAAUGUCUCAGAACGAUUUGUUGAUCAUGCAGUAGUGUUUAAAAAAAGCACUACAAGAAAAUGCAUCAUCAGCUUGCUAUUUCCCUGAUGGCCUUAAUUUUAGAGUGGUCUCGGAUUACUAAAGAAAAGACAAAGCACAUUUUCUGGAAUGAACUUGCAGAGGAGAUGUGCCGGCUUAGACUCCAAAAGGGUUAUAAAACUCCCAAAGUACCAGUUAUCCAUGAAACCACACUUUAAAAAAGUUUAUGGUGAUUAAUAGCAGCAUGUUCAGUUUUGCUUUAUGUGAAAACACAUUUGGGUAACUAGUCAGAAAUACAAACCAGCUAUGGCCUUACUGAAGAAAGGAAAAAGUUGAUUCAUUCUAAGAUGAGAUGGAGGGGAGCUGGUUUACAAUAAACAUGUAAAACACUCUGAAAAUGGAAUUUGUUUUCUUGUCCUGCAUAUUCAUUAUGUCUUCCCUUCUGGUCAACAUAUUUUAAAGAAUCAUUCAUUGCUCUUUAGUUUGUGAUAUAAUUUAGAAGCUGAUACAUAGAAAUAAAGUUUGAUUUAUGACCAUGCUGUCUACUAACAAUUGUAACUUGUUUUAGGCAAUUAAGUAGACAGGUCAAAGUUCAGUGAAUGGCAUGCCACCAUUGAAAAAUUUAAAACAAAACAAAAACAGUGCUUGGCUAAUAAGCUCUUGAUAAGAACCUUCAAUGCCCCACUUUUGUAAAGUCAGUGAUUUAAAGGCAGCAGCCUUAAGUAGACAAGAAAAGUGCCAUCGGAUACUUUGGGGGUGGUGGUGAAAAGAAUCUAAGACCAUCACAUUCUACAUAGUUGAAGGAAAACACUGAAUUGAAAAAUCUUGAAUGUGAAUAAUGGUAAAAGCACACUGGGAUAUUCCUAUCUGUACAUAUUAGGACUUUGCUAGAUGAUUCAUAGUAAAAUCCUUUAUACAUUAGUAUGAGUUAUCUAAGUAUGGUCCUAUGAAAAUAAUUGGCUUAAAAGUAUGUCAGUUAAGAGUCCAAGAGUUCAUUUUAUUCAGUUAGGAGAAUUAAUUCAAAGUUAAGCCAUACUAACAUGCUUUCUUCAUCAGUGAUGAAUUUGGCCUGCAUAGUAGUUUUUAUAUUUAAGGAAGUACUUACAUCAAAAUUUGCACAACAGGAAUACAGUAACAUAUAUUAAUGCACUGUUGUUCUUGGUGACCAUUCGAAGAAAGAUUUUAACUUAUUAAGUUAUUAAAACAAAUAUUUUAGUUUAAAAAAUCUUCCAGAUAUUUCCCACCUGUCUGUUAUGAAAAGGAAAAUACAUAAAGAUCUCCUUUACCUGAUAGUAUAUAAGUCUAAACGAGACAAAAACAUACAAACACAAAGGUGAAUUCUUUAAACACAUUAGUAUGCCAAUUAAGUGUCCCAGCUACUCCAGCAUGGUUUUGUGUAAAUCAGACAAUGUCAUCAUACUACAAAUUUUAGGAACAUUCUUGAGGUUAGGAAAAUAGGACAUUACUUUCAGGGUGGCAUUCAGACUUUUAAAAACUAUGUUUUCCAAUAAUGCUCUAUCAGAAUAUUUAUUUUUUUAUUAUUUACCAUGGGCAUUUGCAACUAUGCAAUGAUGGUCACUAGUCCAUUCCGAUCAAAUUGAAGUUUGUUUUAGUUUUAUUAUGUAGCCUACAUUAGGCUGUGUAAUUUACGUGAAGAUAACAGAUAAGUACAACUCAUAUGUUUUAAAUCCUUUAAGUUCAACUCAAAAUGUUUUCCAUAUUUCUUGACACUAAAAAUGUAAUAAUUGACUUUUAGUUCAUAUUAAAAGUACAUCUUGUAAUAAAAAUCCUGUUUGGAAACUGGUUCAUUUGCACAAUGAAUUUUUGGGGGAACAUAAUUUCUGCUUUGUACACUUUGCAGUUAAUAACAUUUUACCAUUUUUUAACUUUAUUUUUUACAGGUUGUAACCACUGAUAUAGAUACAAAUCCAUAAAGCAUUACAUUUUCUUAGUUUGUGUGCAAAGAUGUGUUAAGCAAAUUCCGCCUGUUAUUUUAUUUUGUCUUUUAAGCUUAAUUUGAAGGUUUUCUUUUGGCUUUUGUUGCUAGGAGAACAUUUUCCUAUAGAUAAAAUUGGUUCAUAUAUAAUCAACACAAAAUGUCGUGUAAAAUUCUGUUUGACCACAUUUUUCUAACCUCUUUAUAUACUUCUCAAUUUUACCUGUUGAAAGAAUUUGUGCAUUCUAUUUUGUUUUUUCUCCAAAGCAUUUUGCUUUUGUGUAAAUCCAGCAGUUGUGAUUUGUGAUUCAGAAGGGAAGGAAGCUUUCAUCCACCCACAUGCUUUUCCUUCUCCUUGGUUUCUACUCAUGUUUUGAGGAUACACGAACUCCUUUUAAAUGUUUGUUUUACAAUAAUUAUAUGUGGUCAAGUAAGGUCAAGGAAAGUGCAGAUCUGAAUCCUUGCUGCUCAGACACAGAAGAUGCACAGGAAAGAAUCUCCGUGGAUAAGGACACUGGUACUUUGGGCUCUAGCCAUAUUCAUUUUUAAAAAAAAACACCAAUAUAUAACAAACUACAAUUUAUAUCAUUGAUCUGUGAUUCUUUUCCAAUCACACUGAACAUUUAGCUGUACUUUCAUGUUUGGUUUAAUAGUGUAUGAAUGAAAAGCCUAAAAGGGAUGAUAGUGUUUAUUUUUUAAUUUAUUUGGUACUGUCAAACACCUUUUCAGAAUGAGCAAAUGCUGCAUUUGCAUUUUGGUAUUGUUAUGUGAAAGAUAUUACAGAUUCAGCAAGAAGGAAAAUUUGUGCUUCCUUGUUGAACAUUAAAUUAUUUUACUUUGCAUUUUAUAAAAGUACAAAUUAAAACUGAGCCAUUGAACUGCAAUAAAUCAACAAUAGUGUCUCAUUUCAAGAAAUUUUUUGUAUUGUACAUAGAUUUGUUCAAUAAAACAUUGUCCUUGUUGAUAA